UGGGGAAUUUUGGACAAUGGGGGAAACCCUGAUCCAGCCAUCCCGCGUGUGCGAUGAAGGCCUUCGGGUUGUAAAGCACUUUUGGCAGGAAAGAAACGUCAUGGGUUAAUACCCCGUGAAACUGACGGUACCUGCAGAAUAAGCACCGGCUAACUACGUGCCAGCAGCCGCGGUAAUACGUAGGGUGCAAGCGUUAAUCGGAAUUACUGGGCGUAAAGCGUGCGCAGGCGGUUCGGAAAGAAAGAUGUGAAAUCCCCGAGCUCAACUUUGGAACUGCAUUUUUAACUACCGGGCUAGAGUGUGUCAGAGGGAGGUGGAAUUCCGCGUGUAGCAGUGAAAUGCGUAGAUAUGCGGAGGAACACCGAUGGCGAAGGCAGCCUCCUGGGAUAACACUGACGCUCAUGCACGAAAGCGUGGGGAGCAAACAGG
rnacentral:rRNA from 1 species